rnacentral:rRNA from 1 species
CCUACGGGAGGCAGCAGUGAGGAAUAUUGGUCAAUGGCCGGAAGGCUGAACCAGCCAUGCCGCGUGAAGGUCAGUGCCCUAUGGGCGUUAAACUUCUUUUGUGCGGGAGCAAUAAUGGUCACGUGUGGCCAGACGAGAGUACCGUACGAAUAAGCAUCGGCUAACUCCGUGCCAGCAGCCGCGGUAAUACGGGGGAUGCAAGCGUUAUCCGGAUUUAUUGGGUUUAAAGGGUGCGUAGGCUGUGAGGUAAGUCAGCGGGGAAAUGCCCCCGCUCAACGGGGUGAAGUGCCAUUGAUACUGCCUUGCUGGAAUGCGGAUGCCGUGGGAGGAAUGUGUGGUGUAGCGGUGAAAUGCAUAGAUAUCACACAGAACACCGAUUGCGAAGGCAUCUCACGAAUCCGCGAUUGACGCUGAUGCACGAAAGCGUGGGUAUCAAACAGGAUUAGAUACCCCAGUAGGC